GACGAACGCUGGCGGCGUGCUUAACACAUGCAAGUCGAACGAUGAACCCGGAGCUUGCUCCGGCGGAUUAGUGGCGAACGGGUGAGUAACACGUGAGUAACCUGCCCUUGACUCCGGGAUAACGGCGGGAAACUGUAGCUAAUACCGGAUACGACCCUCGGCCGCAUCGCCAGGGGGUGGAAAGAAUUUCGGGCAAGGAUGGACUCGCGGCCUAUCAGCUAGUUGGUGAGGUAACGGCUCACCAAGGCGACGAUCUUUAGCUGAUGUGAGAGCAUGAUCAGCCACACGGGCACUGAGACACGGGCCCGACUCCUACGGGAGGCAGCAGUGAGGAAUAUUGGUCAAUGGACGCAAGUCUGAACCAGCCAUGCCGCGUGAAGGAUGAAGGCGUUCUGCGUUGUAAACUUCUUUUAUCAGGGAAGAAACCACCGAUAUCUAUUGGUGUUGACGGUACCUGAGGAAUAAGCACCGGCUAACUCCGUGCCAGCAGCCGCAGUAA
rnacentral:rRNA from 1 species